GCAGCUGUGGCGGAACAGGCAGACGCACUAGACUUAGAAUCUAGAGAGGAAACUCGUGCAGGUUCAAUUCCUGUCAGCUGCACCA
rnacentral:tRNA from 1 species